rnacentral:rRNA from 1 species
GACGAACGCUGGCGGCGUGCUUAACACAUGCAAGUCGAACGAUGAAGCCGGAGCUUGCUCUGGUGAAUUAGUGGCGAACGGGUGAGUAACACGUGAGUAACCUGCCCUUGACUCUGGGAUAACUGCUAGAAAUGGUAGCUAAUACCGGAUACGACCCUCGGAGGCAUCUCCAGGGGGUGGAAAGAAUUUCGGUCAAGGAUGGACUCGCGGCCUAUCAGCUAGUUGGUGAGGUAACGGCUCACCAAGGCGACGACGGGUAGCCGGCCUGUGAGGGUGACCGGCCACACUGGGACUGAGACACGGCCCAGACUCCUACGGGAGGCAGCAGUGGGGAAUAUUGCACAAUGGGCGCAAGCCUGAUGCAGCAACGCCGCGUGAGGGAUGACGGCCUUCGGGUUGUAAACCUCUUUUAGUAGGGAAGAAGCGAAAGUGACGGUACCUGCAGAAAAAGCACCGGCUAACUACGUGCCAGCAGCCGCUGUAA